UAACGGGUGCGAAUCCCGUCAUGGUAAAAGCCUGAGCCAUGUAGCUUGGAUGGCAGGAGGAUAGGGAAACAUUACCUUCUGAAGCCCAUCGACAAAGUCGGCGUAAGGCCGGUGAGCAACUAGCCGGGUCGUAACGUAC
rfam:Candidatus Jettenia caeni DNA, contig: KST1_B.